rnacentral:misc_RNA from 1 species
GAUGAAGAACGCAGCGAAAUGCGAUAAGUAAUGUGAAUUGCAGAAUUCAGUGAAUCAUCGAAUCUUUGAACGCACAUUGCGCCCCCUGGUAUUCCGGGGGGCAUGCCUGUCCGAGCGUCAUUGCUGCCCUCAAGCACGGCUUGUGUGUUGGGCCCCCGUCCCCGGUUCUCCCCGGGGACGGGCCCGAAAGGCAGCGGCGGCACCGCGUCCGAUCCUCGAGCGUAUGGGGCUUUGUCACCCGCUCUGUAGGCCCGGCCGGCGCCAGCCGACACCCCAACUUUAUUUUCUAAGGUUGACCUCGGAUCAGGUAGGGAUACCCGCUGAACUUAAGCAUAUCAAUAAGCGGAGGA